rnacentral:rRNA from 1 species
UAGUAGUACUUAGCAGAGAUGCUUUGGUGCCUUCGGGAACUCUGAGACAGGUGCUGCAUGGCUGUCGUCAGCUCGUGUUGUGAAAUGUUGGGUUAAGUCCCGCAACGAGCGCAACCCUUAUCCUUUGUUGCCAGCGGUCCGGCCGGGAACUCAAAGGAAACUGCCAGUGAUAAACUGGAGGAAGGUGGGGAUGACGUCAAGUCAUCAUGGCCCUUACGAGUAGGGCUACACACGUGCUACAAUGGCGCAUACAAAGAGAAGCGACCUCGCGAGAGCAAGCGGACCUCAUAAAGUGCGUCGUAGUCCGGAUUGGAGUCUGCAACUCGACUCCAUGAAGUCGGAAUCGCUAGUAAUCGUGGAUCAAAAUGCCACGGUGAAUACGUUCCCGGGUCUUGUACACACCGAA